AGUGAACGCUGGCGGUAGGCCUAACACAUGCAAGUCGAACGGCAGCACAGUAAGAGCUUGCUCUUACGGGUGGCGAGAGGCGGACGGGUCACGAAUACAUCCGAAUCUACUUUUUCGUGGGGGAUAACGUAGGGAAACUUACGCUAAUACCGCAUACGACCUACGGGUGAAAGCAGGGGAUCUUCUGACCUUGCGCGAUUGAAUGAGCCGAUGUCGGAUUAGCUAGUUGGCGGGGUAAAGGCCCACCAAGGCGACGAUCCGUAGCUGGUCUGAGAGGAUGAUCAGCCACACUGGAACUGAGACACGGUCCAGACUCCUACGGGAGGCAGCAGUGGGGAAUAUUGGACAAUGGGCGCAAGCCUGAUCCAGCCAUACCGCGUGUGUGAAGAAGGCCUUCGGGUUGUAAAGCCCUUUUGUUGGGAAAGAAAAGCAGCAGGUUAAUACCCCGCUGUUCUGACGGUACCCAAAGAAUAAGCACCGGCUAACUUCGUG
rnacentral:rRNA from 1 species